UUAAACAUGCAAGUCGAACGGUGAAGCCCAGCUUGCUGGGUGGAUCAGUGGCGAACGGGUGAGUAACACGUGAGCAAUCUGCCCCUGACUCUGGGAUAAGCGCUGGAAACGGCGUCUAAUACCGGAUAUGAGCCACCAUCGCAUGGUGAGUGGUUGGAAAGAUUUUUCGGUCUGGGAUGAGCUCGCGGCCUAUCAGCUUGUUGGUGAGGUAAUGGCUCACCAAGGCGUCGACGGGUAGCCGGCCUGAGAGGGUGACCGGCCACACUGGGACUGAGACACGGCCCAGACUCCUACGGGAGGCAGCAGUGGGGAAUAUUGCACAAUGGGCGGAAGCCUGAUGCAGCAACGCCGCGUGAGGGACGACGGCCUUCGGGUUGUAAACCUCUUUUAGCAGGGAAGAAGCGAAAGUGACGGUACCUGCAGAAAAAGCGCCGGCUAACUACGUGCCAGCAGCCGCGGUAAUACGUAGGGCGCAAGCGUUAUCCGGAAUUAUUGGGCGUAAAGAGCUCGUAGGCGGUUUGUCGCGUCUGCUGUGAAAUCCCGAGGCUCAACCUCGGGUCUGCAGUGGGUACGGGCAGACUAGAGUGCGGUAGGGGAGAUUGGAAUUCCUGGUGUAGCGGUGGAAUGCGCAGAUAUCAGGAGGAACACCGAUGGCGAAGGCAGAUCUCUGGGCCGUAACUGACGCUGAGGAGCGAAAGGGUGGGGAGCAAACAGGCUUAGAUACCCUGGUAGUCCACCCCGUAAACGUUGGGAACUAGUUGUGGGGUCCAUUCCACGGAUUCCGUGACGCAGCUAACGCAUUAAGUUCCCCGCCUGGGGAGUACGGCCGCAAGGCUAAAACUCAAAGGAAUUGACGGGGACCCGCACAAGCGGCGGAGCAUGCGGAUUAAUUCGAUGCAACGCGAAGAACCUUACCAAGGCUUGACAUACACGAGAACGCCGCAGAAAUGUGGAACUCUUUGGACACUCGUGAACAGGUGGUGCAUGGUUGUCGUCAGCUCGUGUCGUGAGAUGUUGGGUUAAGUCCCGCAACGAGCGCAACCCUCGUUCUAUGUUGCCAGCACGUAAUGGUGGGAACUCAUGGGAUACUGCCGGGGUCAACUCGGAGGAAGGUGGGGAUGACGUCAAAUCAUCAUGCCCCUUAUGUCUUGGGCUUCACGCAUGCUACAAUGGCCGGUACAAAGGGCUGCAAUACCGUGAGGUGGAGCGAAUCCCAAAAAGCCGGUCCCAGUUCGGAUUGAGGUCUGCAACUCGACCUCAUGAAGUCGGAGUCGCUAGUAAUCGCAGAUCAGCAACGCUGCGGUGAAUACGUUCCCGGGUCUUGUACACACCGCCCGUCAAGUCAUGAAAGUCGGUAACACCUGAAGCCGGUGGCCCAACCCUUGUGGAGGGAGCCGUCGAAGGUGGGAUCGGUAAUUAGGACUAAGUCGUAACAAAGG
rnacentral:rRNA from 1 species